rnacentral:rRNA from 1 species
GUCACGUUAUGGUGGGCACUCUAAGGAGACUGCCGGUGGACAAACCGGAGGAAGGUGGGGAUGACGUCAAGUCAUCAUGGCCUUACGGCCUGGGCUACACACGUGCUACAAUGGUCGGUACAAAGGGUUGCCAAGCCGCGAGGUGGAGCUAAUCCCAUAAAACCGAUCGUAGUCCGGAUCGCAGUCUGCAACUCGACUGCGUGAAGUCGGAAUCGCUAGUAAUCGUGAAUCAGAAUGUCCACGGUGAAUACGUUCCCGGGCCUU